AGAGUUUGAUCUGGGCUCAGGAUGAACGCUGGCGGCAGGCUUAAUACAUGCAAGUCGAACGGUAACGACCGGUAGCAAUACUGGGGCGACGAGUGGCGCACGGGUGCGUAACGCGUAUGCAACCUACCCUCAACCGGGGCAUAACGCCGAGAAAUUGGCGCUAAUAUCCCAUGUGUAUAUGGAGUGGCAUCUCUUCAUAUAUAAAGAUCCGUUGGUUAAGGAUGGGCAUGCGUAACAUUAGCUAGUUGGCGGGGUAACGGCCCACCAAGGCGACGAUGUUUAGGGGUUCUGAGAGGAUUCACCCCCACACUGGAACUGAGACACGGUCCAGACUCCUACGGGAGGCAGCAGUAGGGAAUAUUGGGCAAUGGAGGCAACUCUGACCCAGCCAUGCCGCGUGAAGGAAGACGGCCCUAUGGGUUGUAAACUUCUUUUGCCGCAGAGUAACCGCGGGGACGAGUCCCUGCCUGAGAGUAUGCGGCGAAUAAGUAUCGGCUAACUCCGUGCCAGCAGCCGCGGUAAUACGGAGGAUACGAGCGUUAUCCGGAUUUAUUGGGUUUAAAGGGUGCGCAGGCGGACCGUUAAGUCAGGGGUGAAAAGUUGGGGCUCAACUCCAAUCGUGCCUUUGAUACUGGCGGACUAGAGUGCAGGGGACGUGACUGGAAUGUGAUGUGUAGCGGUGAAAUGCUUAGAUAUGUCACAGAACGCCGAUCGUGAAGACAGGUCACGAAUCUGCAACUGACGCUCAUGCACGAAAGCGUGGGGAUCAAACAGGAUUAGAUACCCUGGUAGUCCACGCUGUAA
rnacentral:rRNA from 1 species